ACGGGGGGGGCAAGCGUUGUUCGGAAUUACUGGGCGUAAAGGGCUCGUAGGCGGCCAACUCAGUCGGACGUGAAAUCCCUCGGCUUAACCGGGGAACUGCGUCCGAUACUGGAUGGCUCGAGUGUGGGAGAGGGAUGCGGAAUUCCAGGUGUAGCGGUGAAAUGCGUAGAUAUCGGAAGGAACACCUGUGGCGAAAGCGGCUCACUGGACCAUAACCGACGCUGAGGCACGAAAGCUAGGGGAGCAAACAGGA
rnacentral:rRNA from 1 species